rnacentral:lncRNA from 1 species
AAAAAAAAAGGGAAAAUAAAAAAGAGAAGAAAUUUUUUUUUUUUGAGAAAUAAGUAGCACGCUACCCGCUUCGUUUAUUUUAUUUAGAAAUAAACUUAGCUAGAAAUAUGAAUCAACUAGGAUUCGAACUUAGGUCUCGGGUACCAACCACCAAACUCUUUACCACUUGCUCUAGAAACGGUCGGUAAAAAGAGAAGAAAUUACUUCAAUUGUCCACAGUCUC